rnacentral:pre_miRNA from 1 species
AAAAGUUCUUCAACCAAGACAUUUUGGUUCAGACUUAAAUAGAGGAAAGAGAUUUUCAGUACCAUUUGACCCAGUAGGGUAUACCUAUUGGGAUUAUAUUGAUGUUUGGACUAAGGUUUUUUGGCACCAAAAUACCC